rnacentral:rRNA from 1 species
AUUGAACGCUGGCGGCAUGCCUUACACAUGCAAGUCGAACGGCAGCACGGGUGCUUGCACCUGGUGGCGAGUGGCGCACGGGUGAGUAAUACAUCGGAACAUGUCCUGUAGUGGGGGAUAGCACGGCGAAAGCCGGGUUACUACCGCAUACGAUCUACGGAAGACAGCGGGGGACCUUCGGGCCUCGCGCUAUAGGGUUGGCCCGUGGCGGAUUUGCUAGUUGGUGGGGUAAAGGCAUACCAAGGCGACGACCAGUAGCCGGUCUGAGAGGACGACCAGCCCAACUGGGACUGAGACACGGUCCAGACCCCUACGGGAGGGAGCAGGUGGGAAUUUUCGGAAAUGGGGGAAAGCCUGACGCAGCAAAGCCCCGUGUGUGAAAAAGGUCUUCGGGUUUUAAAACCCUUUUUUUCGGGAAGAAAAUCCUUGUCCCUAACUCGGCCGGGGGUGACGGUACCCAAAAAGAAAGGCACGGCUAAAUACGUG